rnacentral:misc_RNA from 1 species
GAUGAAGAACGUAGCGAAAUGCGAUAAGUAAUGUGAAUUGCAGAAUUCAGUGAAUCAUCGAAUCUUUGAACGCACAUUGCGCCCGCCAGUAUUCUGGCGGGCAUGCCUGUUCGAGCGUCAUUACAACCCUCAGGCCCCCGGGCCUGGCGUUGGGGAUCGGCGGAGCCCCCCGUGGGCACACGCCGUCCCCCAAAUGCAGUGGCGGUCCCGCCGCAGCUUCCAUCGCGUAGUAGCUAACACCUCGCGACUGGAGAGCGGCGCGGCCACGCCGUAAAACACCCAACUCUUCUGAUGUUGACCUCGAAUCAGGUAGGAAUACCCGCUGAACUUAAGCAUAUCAAUAAGCGGAGGA